UACAGAGGUCUCAAGCGUUGUUCGGAUUCAUUGGGCGUAAAGGGCGCGUAGGCGGCGGGGUAAGUCGGGUGUGAAAUCUCAGAGCUCAACUCUGAAAUGGCACUUGAUACUGCUCUGCUAGAGGACUGGAGAGGAGAUUGGAAUUCACGGUGUAGCAGUGAAAUGCGUAGAUAUCGUGAGGAAGACCAGUGGCGAAGGCGGAUCUCUGGACAGCUCCUGACGCUGAGGCGCGAAGGCUAGGGGAGCAAACGGG
rnacentral:rRNA from 1 species